rnacentral:rRNA from 1 species
AGAUUGAACGCUGGCGGCAUGCCUUACACAUGCAAGUCGAACGGCAGCACGGGAGCAAUCCUGGUGGCGAGUGGCGAACGGGUGAGUAAUACAUCGGAACGUGCCCAAUCGUGGGGGAUAACGCAGCGAAAGCUGUGCUAAUACCGCAUAAGAUCUACGGAUGAAAGCAGGGGAUCGCAAGACCUUGCGCGAAUGGAGCGGCCGAUGGCAGAUUAGGUAGUUGGUGAGGUAAAGGCUCACCAAGCCUUCGAUCUGUAGCUGGUCUGAGAGGACGACCAGCCACACUGGGACUGAGACACGGCCCAGACUCCUACGGGAGGCAGCAGUCGGGGAAUUUUGGACAAGUGGGCGAAAGCCUGAUCCAGCCAUGCCGCGUGCAGGAUGAAGCCGUUCGGUUGUAAACUGCUUUACGUACGUAACGAAAGU